rnacentral:rRNA from 1 species
AACGCGAAGAACCUUUACCAGGUCUUGACAUCCGAUGCUAUUUCUAGAGAUAGAAGUUACUUCGGUACAUCGGUGACAGGUGGUGCAUGGUUGUCGUCAGCUCGUGUCGUGAGAUGUUGGGUUAAGUCCCGCAACGAGCGCAACCCCUAUUGUUAGUUGCCAUCAUUCAGUUUGGGCACUCUAGCGAGACUGCCGGUAAUAAACCGGAGGAAGUGGGAUGACGUCAAAUCAUCAUGCCCCUUAUGACCUGGGCUACACACGUGCUACAAUGGUUGGUACAACGAGUUGCGAGUCGGUGACGGCGAGCUAAUCUCUUAAAGCCAAUCUCAGUUCGGAUUGUAGGCUGCAACUCGCCUACAUGAAGUCGGAAUCGCUAGUAAUCGCGGAUCAGCACGCCGCGGUGAAUACGUUCCCGGGCCUU